rnacentral:rRNA from 2 species
UACGGCGGUUAUAGCGAGAGGGAAACGCCCGGUUACAUUCCGAACCCGGAAGCUAAGCCUUUCAGCGCCGAUGGUACUGCACUCGGGAGGGUGUGGGAGAGUAGGACGCCGCCGGAC